GAGUCAAAUUCAAAACCGCUGCCGUCACUCCAGAGCCAGAUACCCUCCUAGAAGACGAGAGAACAGAACAGAUGUUCUAGACCUGCGCUGCUUUGAUACAUGAUCAGUAUCAGGACGAACUACAGCUGGACAUAAGUGAAAGACAAACAGACGUGUGUUUCUUCGGUGACCGGAUGAGCCAGGUCCGCCCACCUCCUUCAGACUUUCACCGUUCGGCAAGGACUUCAGAAACUGAUUAACAGAACCUCCAGGAUGCUUCAUGUGAAAGACAGACAGGCCUUUAACUUUCAGUUUGGUGUCUUCACUGGUUUUGCCUGCUGUCAUCCUGAUCCCCUCAUGCAGAGGACAGUCGCAGGUGAUUUGUUCACCUCAGCCAAUCAUAGCCCUGGCUAGUGAUGAUGUUGUGUUUUCAUGUCACCUUGAACCUCCUAUCAGUGCCGGUUCCAGGACAGCGGAGUGGACCAGACCUGGUUUGGACCCAGAGUACAUCCAUGUCCACCAAGAUGGACGACUGUUGCAUGAUGUUUGAGCUGUUUAAGAGACACAACAUCUGCACAAUGUGACAGCAGACCUGCUCCACUGCGCCCCCUUCUGGUCUUUAUCCACACAUUACAGGUUCAUGUGCACAAGGGGCUCAAAGGUUAGUUGUAGUAAAAUAUGCAGGGCUGCAUGUUGUGAUAAAUAUGACAGGAAAAAUGGGAGCUCACAUUCAGGCUGAUUUAAUUUUACAGAAAAAUCUCUUGCAGAUGUAUAAAAACACUCUGCUUCUGCAGUGUUGGAUAAAGAAUCUGUGAAUAUUUAGAUAUUGCUCAUUUGCAGAGGUUUAACUGCUGGGCACCAGAUGAAGGUUUCAAGUUUUCUACAUCUCAUUUGUGUGGGUGACAUGUUGACCACAACUGGUCCAAAAUCAUGUUUUUAUGUACAUAAAUUAUAAAUCAAAGUUCAGGAUCACAUUUUUAAAAAAGACUCUGAGACCAGUUUGUUUCAGUACUCCAGUUUUUAAUAAGAUUGUUGCUCAAAGCGUUCUCUUCAUUACACAUUCAGUCUUCUCAGAGAGGAGCUCCAGCUCCCGUUCACGUCACUUGUCGCUUCGUCCCUUCAGUAGCGUUACAGCAGAGAAUCAAAGAUGUGAUUACACAUGAGACCGAUUACACAAAGACUCUCUCAUCCAACCAUGUUUGUGUGUUUGGUAGGUACAUGACACUCGGCUCAGGAGCUUUGAGGGACGCUGGCACAGACUGAUGGGAGGACAGUUGAACACGGGAAG